rnacentral:lncRNA from 1 species
GGAAGUUUCACUAGAUCAACCAUAGUUGCACAUCUAUAUAGCUUGAUCUAGUUUAUAUUUUGAAGCAAAUAGUGGAAGCUAUAUGUUAAGAUUUUUAAAUUUGCCUAGUUCAUCCUCUUCCCUUGUUAGACUACGAGCUUGCAGUUCGUAAACUUCACAGCCAAAAACUGUGGCGUGACCUUUGCCGCCAAAAUUUCCUCGAUAGGAGGAUCUCAGCCGAGAUUUGGGCAAAGAGGCUUGAUCCAGCAGACUGAAGCUGAUCCGUUUCAACUAAGGCAUGCUAUAGGCACCAUCUAAGAAGGAUGGAAUCAUGCUACCAUACUACGUCGUAUUAGAACGUUCUUCCGUACCGGCUAAACGUUGGCAGUGGGCCGGCC